ACGGAGGAUGCAAGCGUUAUCCGGAUUUAUUGGGUUUAAAGGGUGCGCAGGCGGAAUGAUAAGUCAGUGGUGAAAGCUUUCGGCUUAACCGGAAAAUUGCCAUUGAUACUAUUGUUCUUGAGUACAGUUGAGGUAGGCGGAAUGUGUAAUGUAGAGGUGAAAUGCGUAGAUAUUAGCCAGAACACCGGUGGCGAAGGCGGCUCACUGGAACGGUACUGACGCUGAGGCGCGAAAGCGUGGGGAGCAAACAG
rnacentral:rRNA from 1 species